AAGACAGAGAGGGAAGGAGGGGACGACGUCAAGUCAUCAUGGCCCUUACGCCCAGGGCGACACACGUGCUACAAUGGCGCAUACAGCGGGUAGCUACCUGGUAACAGGAUGCCAACCUCUAAAAGUGCGUCUCAGUUCGGAUCGGGGUCUGCAACUCGACCCCGUGAAGCUGGAAUCGCUAGUAAUCGCGGAUCAGAAUGCCGCGGUGAAUACGUUCCCGGGCCUU
rnacentral:rRNA from 1 species